AUGAUUUUUUUUUUUUACCCUUUUAUUUUAUUGAUUAUUUCCAUCUCUUCUUUUGCCAUUGUCUUCAGAGGUGGGAGGGAUCAGUGAGGAGACACCGUCCUGUGAUUGGUGGAGUUUGGGCGCCAUCCUCUUUGAGCUCCUGACCGGCACGUCGCUGCUGAGCUGCCAUCCAGCAGGAAUUGGCCGUCACACAGCUCUCAACAUCCCAGAGUGUGUUUCAGGGGAGGCCAGAUCUCUGCUGGAGCAGUUACUCCAGUAUAACCCAAUGGAGAGACUGGGAGCCGGCGUGGGAGGAGUCGAUGACAUUAAGUCCCACCCCUUUUUUGCCACUGUGGACUGGGCCAAAUAGAUGCACAGCCAGACAUUCAAAUUCCCACAUGCUACAGUGGAUAGUGUUUUUCUUUUUUUUUUUUUUGUUUUAAACACCCUUGUUAAAAUGUCAGGUUUUUUUAUGUGUACAAAUUAAACUAUGAUGAAUAGUUUCAAACUCUUUCCACCUUUAAUGUAACAAGUAUGCUAUACGAUUCAACUACAAAACUAAUGUGCUUGAGGGAAACAUGUAAAAGAAGAAAAAGUUGAACAAAUGUGGAUACCCUUAAAUUAAUAAUAUGUUAAAACUUGGUUUAAUUCAGUAUUAGUUUUUAGUUUGAGAAUUGUAGCCUGCUACACCUUAACUUAAUAUUUGCCUCCUUUUCUUUCCAAAAGUUAUCCAAAUGUGUAAGAUUCAGAUGACAUAUUUCAUCUAUAGUAGAUGAAAUAUGUCAUCUACUAUAGAUGACAUAUCUAUAGUUUGACUUCAGAUGAAGUCAGAUGAAGUCAAACUUCAUCUGACUUUCUGUCAGAUGAAGUUCUGAAAUCUUUGAUUUCAGAAUCUUAAUUCUCCUCUAUUAAUACCAGUAUUUUGUUGCCAUUGAAAGAAAAAAAAAUCAUGCAGGAAAACAAAACCUUGCUUCGUCUUCUGCUUCUCCAUGCGUUUUGUACCAAACAUAAAUAUAUUUAAGUUCUAUUUAACUUAUUCUUCUCCUCCUACAAAGUUUAAGAAGAUUUUAGCCAGACCUUGAGAUUUUCUUUCCAAGAAUUGUCUUCUUUUUUAACCACUUUACUGCUCUGUCCAGACAUAUGGAGAGGUGAUUGUUGUUAAAGGACAAUUAGUACGAACCAGAUUAAGGUUUUAGUCUUAGGUUCCAUCUUUGUUUAAUGACUGAUAUAACUAUGACAUGUAUAUAGAUAAUGCUGAUGGGUCUUUUUUUCUGCUUUUCCUGACUGAUACCUUCAUAAACUGACCUUUUUCUAAAAUAUGAAAAAGGGAUAGUGACAAGAAUGACAAGAAAAGCCUUUUAAAACAGGAAAUAAAGCUGAAUUUAAUUUCAGAUUCACCAUAACCGAUGGCAGACAUGUUUCAACAAUGUAUUAGUUUUAUGAUUAACAUCAGGUUGUUGCAGCUUUUUAGAUUUUUUUAUUUUAUUUUUUUUACAGGUUUCCCUUAAAUACAUUUUUCAAUUGAAUAAUAUUGGGUCUCCGACAGAUUAACGGUGGAAAGACAACUGAAAUUUUUUUUUUUUUUUUUUUUUUUGCCAUCA